rnacentral:rRNA from 1 species
CCUGAGAAACCCAAAAGAUCGAAUGGGGAGAUUCAUCGUCAAUAUGUUUAAUAUAUAUAUAUAUUAUGAUGUAAAUUUUUAUUAAUUUAAUUAUUAAUUUAAAAUUUAUACAUAUAUAUAUUAUUUUAUUGUUUUACAUUGUCGGCGUGCACUUCUCCUCUAGUAGAACAUUGUAACCCGUUAGAUAUUAAUUUACGGCCUUAUUGGGUAGCCUUUGAUCGUUAAAACAUUAAAGACCAAUUUGUGUUUCCUAAUUAAUUGUCUGACGGUAUUCAUAUGAUAUUAAGUCGCAUAUAUUAUUUGCGUUUUCAUCCGUCGCAAGCGAGGCUAUUUAAUUAAUUGUUACGGACCUAGUGCCGUCUAUUAAUAAUAGCCAGCUGUUGGCUGUUACGGUAUUCUGAAACUGACUUUAUAUAUCGGUU